rnacentral:rRNA from 1 species
GAUGAACGCUGGCGGCGUGCCUAAUACAUGCAAGUCGAGCGAACAGAUAAGGAGCUUGCUCCUUUGACGUUAGCGGCGGACGGGUGAGUAACACGUGGGUAACCUACCUAUAAGACUGGGAUAACUUCGGGAAACCGGCGCUAAUCCCGGAUAACAUUUGGAACCGCAUGGUUCUAAAGUGAAAGAUGGUUUUGCUAUCACUUAUAGAUGGACCCGCGCCGUAUUAGCUAGUUGGUAAGGUAACGGCUUACCAAGGCGACGAUACGUAGCCGACCUGAGAGGGGGAUCGGCCACACUGGAACGGAGACGCGGUCCAGACUCCUGAGAGAGGCAGCAGUAGGGAAUCGUCCGCAAUGGGCGAAAGCCUGACGGAGCAACGCCGCGUGAGUGAUGAAGGGUUUCGGUUCGGAAAACUCUGUUAUUAGGGAAGAACAAAUGUGUAAGUAACUGUGCACGUCUUGACGGUACCUAAUCAGAAAGCCACGGCUAACUACGUG